rnacentral:misc_RNA from 1 species
GGCUUGCUCGGGUCGCAUUCCGAUCCUUCGGUGGCUCCUCUUCAAUGGAGGCGUUGUCGGAGGGACGGAUGCUCCUCGUCUYGCUGUGGGACGACGCAUGAGUGGCUCUUAGGAUACGAUCCCACGGCAGGCUCCAUGUUCUCGGCAUCGAACUGCUCUGGUCUAUCCCUUUCAUUUGUUAGUUCGCCCCGUCCCUAUCAGGGUCGGUUGCGACCUCUCCGUGGAUCCCUGUUCUCGAUAUCGUGAUGCGGCAAUCGGGUGACUUCCUUGUCCCCGCCUUUGCUCAAUCGGUUCCCCUUCGGCCCGCGCUUGCGGUGGGGGAAUAUCGUGCGGGCGUUCACGUUCUCCAUCCGAGCCGUUGUCCCCGUGUGGGCACUCCUUCUCGUGAUGGUUCGCGGAUGCUUUCGGCGUGCUCUUGGGUACGGAUAUGAUUCGUUGGUUUCGCAACGGUCUAUGACGGCCGGGGCGAGCGAGAUCCCGAUGUGUCCAAUCCAUCGACGCUUCUGCUUGCGUGACCGUCGUGCCCCCUUAGGCGAUCGCGGGACCUCUGCGUCCCGUGUUCGUCCCUACGGAGGCUUCGAGGUCUUCGGAGGAAUGCUACCUGGUUGAUCCUGCC